UUGGUUAAGUUAGAAAGGGCGCACGGUGGAUGCCUUGGCACUAGGAGCCGAAGAAGGACGGGACUAACACCGAUAUGCUUUGGGGAGCUGUACGUAAGCGUUGAUCCAGAGAUUUCCGAAUGGGGGAACCCACUAUCUUUAGUCGGAUAGUAUCCUUACGUGAAUACAUAGCGUGAGGAAGGUAGACCCAGGGAACUGAAACAUCUAAGUACCUGGAGGAAGAGAAAGAAAAAUCGAUUUCCUGAGUAGCGGCGAGCGAAACGGAAAGAGCCCAAACCAAGAAGCUUGCUUCUUGGGGUUGUAGGACACUCUAUACGGAGUUACAAAAGAAAGUUAUAAAUGAAGCGGUCUGGAAAGGCCCGCCAAAGACGGUAACAGCCCGGUAGUUGAAAUGGCUUUCCCUCCAGAGUGGAUCCUGAGUACGGCGGAACACGUGAAAUUCCGUCGGAAUCCGGGAGGACCAUCUCCCAAGGCUAAAUACUCCCUAGUGACCGAUAGUGAACCAGUACCGUGAGGGAAAGGUGAAAAGCACCCCGGAAGGGGAGUGAAACAGUUCCUGAAACCGUGUGCCUACAAGUAGUUAGAGCCCGUUAAUGGGUGAUAGCGUGCCUUUUGUAGAAUGAACCGGCGAGUUACGAUUUGUUGCAAGGUUAAGCGGAAAAAGCGGAGCCGUAGCGAAAGCGAGUCUGAAUAGGGCGCAUAAGUAACAGGUCGUAGACCCGAAACCAGGUGAUCUACCCAUGUCCAGGAUGAAGGUAAGGUAAUACUUACUGGAGGUCCGAACCCACGCACGUUGAAAAGUGCGGGGAUGAGGUGUGGGUAGCGGAGAAAUUCCAAUCGAACUUGGAGAUAGCUGGUUCUCUCCGAAAUAGCUUUAGGGCUAGCCUCGAGGUAAAGAGUCAUGGAGGUAGAGCACUGUUUGGACUAGGGGCCCUUCUCGGGUUACCGAAUUCAGAUAAACUCCGAAUGCCAUGUACUUAUACUCGGGAGUCAGACUGCGAGUGAUAAGAUCCGUAGUCGAAAGGGAAACAGCCCAGACCACCAGUUAAGGUCCCCAAAUAUAUGUUAAGUGGAAAAGGAUGUGGGGUUGCUUAGACAACCAGGAUGUUGGCUUAGAAGCAGCCACCAUUGAAAGAGUGCGUAAUAGCUCACUGGUCGAGUGACCCCGCGCCGAAAAUGUACCGGGGCUAAACAUAUUACC
rnacentral:rRNA from 1 species